rnacentral:rRNA from 1 species
AAAAGUGUUCCUCAGUUCGGAUUGCAGGCUGCAACUCGCCUGCAUGAAGCCGGAAUCGCUAGUAAUCGCAGGUCAGCUAUACUGCGGUGAAUGUGUUCCUGAGCCUUGUACACACCGCCCGUCAAGCCACGAAAGCGGGGGGCAUCCUAAAUCGCCGGGCUAACCUUCGGGAGGCAGGCGCCUAAGAUGAACUCCGUGAUUGGGACUAAGUCGUAACAAGGUAGCCGUAGGGGAACCUGCGGCUGGAUCACCUCCUU